CAGGGGUGGUGGUGGGGCUUCCUGGAGUGCUGCUCGGCACCCGGCUUCCCUCGCGGCGGGGCGGAGGUCGCAGCUCCCCGGCGGAUUCCGGUGUGCCCGCUCCCGCGGAUGCUUGGGCCUGGGAGGUGGAGGAGAGCAGAGGGGCCCAGACCGCGAGAUCGACGGGACGCCAAGCGCAGUGCUGUCCCUUCCCGCCUGGGGGCGCGAGCGUGGGGAGCUGCUCAGCCCAAAGACACUACAGAGAUCAGCUGGGAGGAUAACUCUGCACACUGGAAAGGAAGUUGUAGUCAAGGCUGAAGGGGAAGAAGGAGGAAGUGGCCGUGAGGCACACAUUUGCUGUACAUAAUGAUGACAUUCAUCAUAAUAAAAGAGCUAUUUUAAGUUGAUCCACAUACUACAGCUAAACUGAACUUGGAGGAGCUCCUUCGCUAUCUUUGGCAUGUGUCUCUUGGAAAGCGCCUCCUCCUCAAGACUGCGGGAAGGAAGACUCCGCUGGGGAUGGGAGAGGGAGACCGAGUGGCUGUGCUCCUGGAGUCCGUGUCGGCACACUGAGCAGUCCUGUCAGGAACAGCAAAGCAGACUCAGAACCACAGCAGGGACCAGGUGAGGUGUGCUUGGAUGUUAUAGUUGAUGAUACACAGGCACAUUUUUUUUAAGUUCUUGAAUUUGCUUAUUUAAUGGCUUCACUGAACAUUCUUA
rnacentral:lncRNA from 1 species